GACGAACGCUGGCGGCGUGCUUAACACAUGCAAGUCGAACGGAAAGGCCUCUUUCGGGGGGUACUCGAGUGGCGAACGGGUGAGUAACACGUGAGUAACCUGCCCUUGACUUUGGGAUAACUUCAGGAAACUGGGGCUAAUACCGGAUAGGAGCUCCUGCUGCAUGGUGGGGGUUGGAAAGUUUCGGCGGUUGGGGAUGGACUCGCGGCUUAUCAGCUUGUUGGUGGGGUAGUGGCUUACCAAGGCUUUGACGGGUAGCCGGCCUGAGAGGGUGACCGGCCACAUUGAGACUGAGAUACGGCCCAGACUCCUACGGGAGGGAGCAGUGGCGAAUAUUGCACAAUGGGUGGAAGCCUGAUGCAGCAACGCCGUGUGCGGGAUGACGGCCUUCGGGUUGGAAACCGCUUUCGCUCAUGACGAAGCUUUGUGUGACGGUAGUGGGUAAAGAAGCACCGGCUAACUACGUG
rnacentral:rRNA from 1 species